rnacentral:misc_RNA from 1 species
CCCACACCUUUCCACCGCCGGGCUUCACGCAACGCACGCACACCGGCUACCUGGCACUCGUCCCACUCUUUAAAGGAACCGAACCGCUCCCUACCCCCCCUCCUCCCCGGUGAAGAGAGAAGGACGGGCGCCCCGGUGUGUACUUCGGCUGCAUCCUACGCACCCUUGCAAGCAAUUUAAAGAGUUACAGAGCCUAUCAAAGGGGCGCACGUGAGAGGCACAGCGCCCGCCCUCCCCUGCGCGGACGGGAGCUGCAGCGACCCUUCAAUCCUCUGUGUACGCACGCACACACACACAGACGUGCGCUUGCUUUCUUUUCUUUCGCUUCACGUACAUCGUGUCGCUCGUGGCUUCUCUUGUGGAGCAGGCGUUCAUCCUGUCCGCAAGAGCCCUCUCCAUCUUCCCUACACCACCACCAUCGCCACCUCUCCUCUCGCUGCUCUCGCCCCUCAGCCCUGCGUCUCCACGCAUACACCCAUACACACAUAUAUAUAUAUACGAGCACGUGUGUGCACGCGACGCCUCCUUUACUCUCGACCUGGGAAAAGGGAAAAUGCUUCGCUUCCCGACUCGGCUGCUGUUUUGUGUGGCUACGGCGGCCAGCACGCCGUCCCCUGACGUGCUGCAGGUCACAAAAGAAAAGGCAAGCAAGCUUGACGAUCUCUCGCCGCGGGCGAUCACGAAAAUACUGGACGCCUACAUUGUUGGCCAGGAUGCUGGAAAGCGCGCUGUGGCUAUUGCGCUGCGCAACCGCUGGCGUCGUCGGCAGCUCAGCGACGCCGACCUGCGGAAGGAGGUGGUGCCUAAGAACAUGCUGCUGAUUGGUCCAACCGGCGUCGGCAAGACGGAGAUAUCGCGUCGCAUGGCGCGCAUCACGGACGCCCCGUUUAUCAAGGUGGAGGCCACCAAGUACACGGAGGUCGGCUUCAAGGGCAAGGACGUCGAGAGCAUCAUCGAGGACCUGUACACGAACGCCAAGCUCAAGGCGAGGCGCGCGCUCGAGGCGGAGCGGCAUGCGGAGGCGCUGAACAUGGCGCUGGACACCGUGUAUAGCGCCUGGUCGGUGAGUCAGCGGAUGCGAGCGAUGGACCGUUCUCUGCUUAGCACCGGCAAGGCCGAGGAAGUGACGGCGGCAGCCGCAGACGACAGCGCAGCGGAGGCGGAGGAGUCGCAGCCGCAGCAGCAGCAGCACAACUUCGAGUACUUCCGCGAGCACUACCUGGAUGAGCCAAUCACUAACGAUAUGGUGACGAUCGACAUCAAUGCCCCGCAGGCGCCGACGAAGCCACCGAAGGAGGGCGGCAUCGAUCUGCAGUCGGUCGGCAUGCUGCUGGGACUGGGAGGGGAGCCGAAGAGGCUGAAGGUGUCCGUGACGAAGCGGGUGGCUGACGCUGUGCCGCUGGCCACGCAGGAGGCGCUAGACAAACUCAUCGACGAAGCCUCAGUGAACACGCUAGCACGUGCGCUAGCGGAGGAGGAGGGCGUUGUCUUUGUGGAUGAAAUCGACAAGGUGGUUGCCGAGCCGUCCAGCGCCAACGCCGACGUCAGCUCCACCGGGGUGCAGCAAGACCUGCUGCCUCUGAUCGAGGGCUCCAACGUCACCAUGAAGGACGGCAGCGUCAUUGCGACGGACAACAUCCUCUUCAUCUGCUCCGGCGCCUUCCACGUCGUCAAGACGUCCGACAUGAUCGCGGAGCUGCAGGGCCGACUGCCUGUACGCGUAGAGCUGCAGGCGCUGACGGAGGAGGACUUCCGCCGUAUCUUGACGGAGCCCAAGUUCAACCUGCUGCGGCAACAGGAAGAGAUGUUGAAAACGGAGAAGAUCGACGUCGUCUUCACGGAGGACGGCGUCAAUGAGCUGGCCAAGGUGACCUGCGCAGUGAACAGUCAAGGUCAGAACAUCGGCGCCCGUCGCCUCAACACAAUCCUCGAGCGCGUCAUGGACCCGUAUAGCUUCAACUGCGAAGAGUACGAAGGCAAGAGGGUGGAAAUCAACGCCAAGAUGGUGCGGGAGGCGACGGAGAAGCUCCAGAAGAAUGUGAACUUAGCUAAGUAUUUAUUGUGAGGGGGUGGGAGAUCAACGCACCGGUGUUACCGUCACGUAUGCGACCCCUCAACUCCCUCCCCUUCCGUUCCGCUGCCGCUACGUUUGGUUAGCGUGCUUGUGUCUGUGUGUGCUUGUGUCAAGCGGUGUAUGCUGGAAUGGUGGUGUUGGUUGCCUGAGCUCUGCAUUGCCUCUCGUACAACUGGCGUGCAUCUGUUUAGAUCUAUAUAAACCUAAACACAUAUAUAUAUAUCUGUGUGUGUGCGCCAGAACGGGUGUCGGGUGUGCCCCCCCCCACUCACCUUCUUUGUUCCCAUCCCUCCCCUUCUUCCCCUGCGGCUCACACUGGCACGUCUGCGCGCCCGACACAUCCAUAUCUCCGCGCGUUUUACACACGUGGAUCUAUGUGCUUCGGGGCGCUUGGUGCAAACCCUCCCCCCUCCCUCCC